UCCUGGCUCAGGACGAACGCUGGCGGCGCGCUUAACACAUGCAAGUCGAGCGAUGAAAUUUUACCAGAUUCCUUCGGGAUGAAGAUAAAAUGGAUUAGCGGCGGACGGGUGAGUAACACGUGAGUAACCUGCCUUUGACAUCGGGAUAGCCUCGGGAAACCGGGAUUAAUACSGAAUAAAAUCCUUUCCACCCAUGUAGAAAGGAUCAAAACUMCGGUGGUCUUAGAUGGACUCGCGUCCCAUUAGCUAGUUGGUAAGGUACGGCUUACCAAGGCGACGAUGGGUAGCCGGCCUGAGAGGGUGAACGGCCACAUUGGAACUGAGAAACGGUCCAAACUCCUACGGGAGGCAGCAGUGGGGAAUAUUGCACAAUGGAGGGAACUCUGAUGCAGCGACGCCGCGUGAAUGAAGAAUGCCUUAGGGCAGUAAAGUUCUUUUAUAUGGGAAGAUAAUGACGGUACCAUAAGAAAAAGCCCCGGCUAACUACGUGCCAGCAGCCGCGGUAAUACGUAGGGGGCUAGCGUUGUCCGGAAUCACUGGGCGUAAAGGGUUCGCAGGCGGAAAUUCAAGUCAGGUGUAAAAGGCAGUAGCUUAACUACUGUAAGCAUUUGAAACUGGAUAUCUUGAGAAGUGUAGAGGUAAGUGGAAUUUUUAGUGUAGCGGUGAAAUGCGUAGAUAUUAAAAAGAAUACCUGUGGCGAAAGCGACUUACUGGGCACAUUCUGACGCUGA
rnacentral:rRNA from 1 species